rnacentral:rRNA from 1 species
ACUUUCAACAACGGAUCUCUUGGUUCUGGCAUCGAUGAAGAACGUAGCAAAUACUGAUAAGUAUGUGAAUUGCAGAAUUCAGUGAAUCAUCGAAUCUUUGAACGCACAUUGCGCCCGCCAGUACUCUGGCGGGCAUGCCUGUCCGAGCGUCAUUUCAA